rnacentral:rRNA from 1 species
AUUGAACGCUGGCGGCAUGCCUUACACAUGCAAGUCGAACGGCAGCACGGGUGCUUGCACCUGGUGGCGAGUGGCGAACGGGUGAGUAAUACAUCGGAACAUGUCCUGUAGUGGGGGAUAGCCCGGCGAAAGCCGGAUUAAUACCGCAUACGAUCCACGGAUGAAAGCGGGGGACCUUCGGGCCUCGCGCUAUAGGGUUGGCCGAUGGCUGAUUAGCUAGUUGGUGGGGUAAAGGCCUACCAAGGCGACGAUCAGUAGCUGGUCUGAGAGGACGACCAGCCACACUGGGACUGAGACACGGCCCAGACUACUACGGGAGGCAGCAGUGGGGAAUUUUGGACAAUGGGCGAAAGCCUGAUCCAGCAAUGCCGCGUGUGAAGAAGGCCUUCGGGUUGUAAAGCACUUUUGUCCGGAAAGAAAUCCUUGACUCUAAUACAGGCGGGGGAUGACGGUACCGGAAGAAUAAGCACCGGCUAACUACGUG